rnacentral:miRNA from 1 species
AUGGACGAAAUGAAAGUAGAG